UGGUCUGCGUUUGGAAAGAUUUUUCGGUUGGGGAGGGGCUCGCGGCCUAUCAGCUUGUUGGUGAGGUAAUGGCUCACCAAGGCGUCGACGGGUAGCCGGCCUGAGAGGGUGACCGGCCACACUGGGACUGAGACACGGCCCAGACUCCUACGGGAGGCAGCAGUGGGGAAUAUUGCACAAUGGGCGGAAGCCUGAUGCAGCAACGCCGCGUGAGGGAUGACGGCCUUCGGGUUGUAAACCUCUUUUAGCAGGGAAGAAGCGAAAGUGACGGUACCUGCAGAAAAAGCGCCGGCUAACUACGUGCCAGCAGCCGCGGUAAUACGUAGGGCGCAAGCGUUAUCCGGAAUUAUUGGGCGUAAAGAGCUCGUAGGCGGUUUGUCGCGUCUGCUGUGAAAUCCCGAGGCUCAACCUCGGGCCUGCAGUGGGUACGGGCAGACUAGAGUGCGGUAGGGGAGAUUGGAAUUCCUGGUGUAGCGGUGGAAUGCGCAGAUAUCAGGAGGAACACCGAUGGCGAAGGCAGAUCUCUGGGCCGUAACUGACGCUGAGGAGCGAAAGGGUGGGGAGCAAACAGGCUUAGAUACCCUGGUAGUCCACCCCGUAAACGUUGGGAACUAGUUGUGGGGUCCAUUCCACGGAUUCCGUGACGCAGCUAACGCAUUAAGUUCCCCGCCUGGGGAGUACGGCCGCAAGGCUAAAACUCAAAGGAAUUGACGGGGACCCGCACAAGCGGCGGAGCAUGCGGAUUAAUUCGAUGCAACGCGAAGAACCUUACCAAGGCUUGACAUAUACGAGAACGGGCCAGAAAUGGUCAACUCUUUGGACACUCGUAAACAGGUGGUGCAUGGUUGUCGUCAGCUCGUGUCGUGAGAUGUUGGGUUAAGUCCCGCAACGAGCGCAACCCUCGUUCUAUGUUGCCAGCACGUAAUGGUGGGAACUCAUGGGAUACUGCCGGGGUCAACUCGGAGGAAGGUGGGGAUGACGUCAAAUCAUCAUGCCCCUUAUGUCUUGGGCUUCACGCAUGCUACAAUGGCCGGUACAAAGGGCUGCAAUACCGUGAGGUGGAGCGAAUCCCAAAAAGCCGGUCCCAGUUCGGAUUGAGGUCUGCAACUCGACCUCAUGAAGUCGGAGUCGCUAGUAAUCGCAGAUCAGCAACGCUGCGGUGAAUACGUUCCCGGGUCUUGUACACACCGCCCGUCAAGUCAUGAAAGUCGGUAACACCUGAAGCCGGUGGCCUAACCCUUGUGGAGGGAGCCGUCGAAGGUG
rnacentral:rRNA from 1 species